UCGGCGGUGAGCACCGGUGGCGUGCUGCCAUUGAGCACGGCAUGGCAGCCGUUCCAGUCACCUCCGUCGGU
rnacentral:tRNA from 1 species